GACGAACGCUGGCGGCGUGCCUAAUACAUGCAAGUCGAACGCAGUGGGGACGGGUGAGUAACACGUGGGUAACCUCCCAUCAGAGGGGAUAACACUUGGAAACAGGUGCUAAACCGAUACUGAUGGAUGGACCCGGGGUGCAUUAGCGAGUUGGGGAGGUAACGGCUCACCAAGGCCACGAUGCAUAGCGGCCCGGAGAGGGUGAUAGUACAACCGGGGACUGAGCCAGGGCCCAGACUCCCACGGGAGGCAGCAGUAGGGAAUCUGCGGCAAUGGACGAAAGUCUGACCGAGCAACACCGCGUGAGUGAAGAAGGUUUUCGGAUCGUAAAACUCUGUUGUUAGAGAAGCGGUAUCUAACCAGAAAGCCACGGCUAACUACGUGCCAGCAGCGCGGUAAUAC
rnacentral:rRNA from 1 species